AGCAGCCGCGGUAAUACGGAGGGUGCGAGCGUUGUCCGGAAUCACUGGGCGUAAAGGGCGCGUAGGCGGCUUCUUAAGCGUGUGGUGAAAGUCCGGGGCUCAACCCCGGAUCGGCCGUGCGAACUGGGGAGCUCGAGCACUGUAGAGGCGGGUGGAAUUCCGGGUGUAGCGGUGGAAUGCGUAGAGAUCCGGAAGAACACCAGUGGCGUAGGCGGCCCGCUGGGCAGUGGCUGACGCUGAGGCGCGACAGCGUGGGGAGCAAACAGG
rnacentral:rRNA from 1 species